GGGUAAAUAGCUCAGUGGUAGAGCGCAUGCUUAGCAUGCACAAGGCCCUGAGGUCCUGGGUUCAAUCCCCAGUACUUCCA
rnacentral:tRNA from 1 species